GUAGUUGUGGCUCAGUGGUAGAGCACUUGCCUAGCAUGUGUGAAGCCCUGGGUUUGUUCGAUCCUCAGCACCACA
rnacentral:tRNA from 1 species